rnacentral:rRNA from 1 species
AUUGAACGCUGGCGGAAUGCUUUACACAUGCAAGUCGAACGGUAGAGGGGGCAACCCCUCGAGAGUGGCGAACGGGUGAGUAAUAUAUCGGAACGUGCCCAGUCGUGGGGGAUAACGUAGCGAAAGUUACGCUAAUACCGCAUACGAUCUACGGAUGAAAGCGGGGGAUCGCAAGACCUCGCGCGAUUGGAGCGGCCGAUAUCAGAUUAGGUAGUUGGUGGGGUAAAGGCUCACCAAGCCAACGAUCUGUAGCUGGUCUGAGAGGACGACCAGCCACACUGGAACUGAGACACGGUCCAGACUCCUACGGGAGGCAGCAGUGGGGAAUUUUGGACAAUGGGCGCAAGCCUGAUCCAGCAAUGCCGCGUGCAGGAUGAAGGCCUUCGGGUUGUAAACUGCUUUGUACGGAACGAAAAGGUUCUAUUAAUACUAGGAGCUCAUGACGGUACCGUAAGAAUAAG